ACGCCCUGGGCUGCGGUGCCCCCACCUCAGUUACAACCCCUCUCCCGGCCCCUCCUGACGGUUGGUCUGCAGUGAGAGCUGCACAAGGACACAAGUUCAGCUCAACUUCUCUUCUCUCCCCACUGGGGCUGAGAUGGGAGGACUCUGUGGCUGGAACCAGGAGCUAUUUCUUGGCAGCGCAGUCACGCUGAUGAUGUUCCUGCUGCUGUGAAGCGCGGCCCCUCUCUGGGUCUCCCUCAUGUGGCUGAGGGGCUAAACCUGGACAAUCAGAAGGCAAUGUUUGCACCAUAGUGUCCAGAACUUCCUCUCUCGGACUGAGCCUGGAGUCCAUUGCAGUUUCGAUUGUGAAGCCGACUCUAUUGUGGGGGCAUCUGGGCAAUGACCCAAACGGCUGAGGUGACCCUUCCCAUGAUCUGCACACAAAAGCAGCUGCACUGAGACUACACCAGGUACAUGAGCAUCGACUGAGAAUCAUGUACUUCCAGUUCCAUAGACUUUGCAAGAAGCGGCUUUCCACCUCAUCUGUUUUCACCACUUGCUGGCAGAUGAGAAGUUGAGCCCUGGGUUGGGAAAGUGCGUGUGUAAGUCCUGCUGGGGGCUGAGAGCAGCGGGAGGAGAACUCCAUCUAUUUGGGCUUUCGCUGCUGUGCGGGACGCAGGUUGUGGGGCCUUAGGGAAAUAAAAGCUACA